CCUUCCCUACGGGGGGCAGCAGUGAGGAGUAUUGGUCAAUGGACGAGAGUCUGAACCAGCCAAGUAGCGUGAAGGAUGACUGCCCUACGGGUUGUAAGCUUCUUUUAUAUGGGAAUAAAGUUUUCCACGUGUGGAAUUUUGUAUGUACCAUAUGAAUAAGGAUCGGCUAACUCCGUGCCAGCAGCCGCGGUAAUACGGAGGAUCCGAGCGUUAUCCGGAUUUAUUGGGUUUAAAGGGAGCGUAGGUGGAUUGUUAAGUCAGUUGUGAAAGUUUGCGGCUCAACCGUAAAAUUGCAGUUGAAACUG
rnacentral:rRNA from 1 species